UACGAAGGUCCCGAGCGUUGUUCGGAAUCACUGGGCGUAAAGGGAGCGUAGGCGGCGUGGUAAGUCAGAUGUGAAAUCCCGGGGCUCAACCCCGGAACUGCAUCCGAUACUGCCGUGCUAGAGUUUUGGAGAGGUAGCUGGAAUUUACGGUGUAGCAGUGAAAUGCGUGGAUAUCGUAAGGAACACUCGUGGCGAAAGCGAGCUACUGGACAACAACUGACGCUGAGGCUCGAAGGCCAGGGUAGCGAAAGGG
rnacentral:rRNA from 1 species